AUCGAUAUUCCACGUUAANUCUUACUUUAAUUUAAAAUUUAUAUAUCGCCAUCUUAAGAGAUAAUUUAUAAAUAUUUCUCUAAAUAAAAUAUAAAAAGUUAGGUCAAGGUGUAAUCUAUAUAAAAGAAUAAGAUGAAUUACAUUAAAUAAUAUUUAAGAAAUAUUCAUUAAAAAAAAUAUAAAUAAGAAUUUAAAAGUAAUAUUAAAAUAAUAAUUCAAUAUGAUUUAAUUAUAAAUGUGCACACAUCGCCC
rnacentral:rRNA from 1 species